rnacentral:rRNA from 1 species
AUUGAACGCUGGCGGCAUGCCUUACACAUGCAAGUCGAACGGUAACGGGCCUUCGGGUGCCGACGAGUGGCGAACGGGUGAGUAAUGUAUCGGAACGUACCUUUCAGUGGGGGAUAACGUAGCGAAAGUUACGCUAAUACCGCAUAUUCUGUGCGCAGGAAAGCAGGGGACCUUCGGGCCUUGCGCUGAUUGAGCGGCCGAUAUCAGAUUAGCUAGUUGGUGAGGUAAAGGCUCACCAAGGCGACGAUCUGUAGCGGGUCUGAGAGGAUGAUCCGCCACACUGGAACUGAGACACGGUCCAGACUCCUACGGGAGGCAGCAGUGGGGAAUUUUGGACAAUGGGGGCGACCCUGAUCCAGCCAUGCCGCGUGAGUGAAGAAGGCCUUCGGGUUGUAAAGCUCUUUCGGCCGGGAAGAAAUCGCACGGGCUAAUACCCUGUGUGGAUGACGGUACCGGAAUAAGAAGCACCGGCUAACUACGUGCCAGCAGCCGCGGUAAAAC